UUGAGAGAGAGAUAGGUAGCACGCUACCCGCUUCGUUUAUUUCAUUUUUUAGAAAUAAAUUUAGCUAGAAAUGUGAAUCAACUAGGAUUCGAACUUGGGUCUCGGGUACCAACCAUCAAGUCCUUUGUCACUUGCUCUAGGGACAGUCGGUACGAGAUGUUGGUACGCACUAACAGGAAUUGUAAAUCUCACACUCUUCUUCCUUCGGCCCAUAUUUCGGUUUCGUUUGGAAUUGUAGAGAUAUUGCGUUACGUGCGGUAAAAAAGUACGACGGAAAAAUAUCAUGUUUGCUUUCGUACACAAUAUUGCAUUUCGUAUAUUGCUAUGAGUCGAUUACGAUAUAUUUUUUACGGUCCCAUAAAAAAUGCAGAAGUAUAUCUCUAAAUGUUUUUAUCCUAAUUUUAUUUUAUCUAAUAAUAACAUCAAAUGAACCUCAAUACCAAAAUAAGUCUGUGUAGGAAUGUCAGCGGUCGGAUUUGAGGCUGAUUUUCAAAAACCCGAAUCCAAACUCGACUUCAAAACCAAAACCCGAAUCUGAAUCUGGCGGGUUUUAAAAUUCCAUACCUAAACCCGAACCUGACAAAAAAUUCAAAAUCGAACCCGAAACAGUUUUUUUUCUUUUACUAUUUCAAAAUAUAUUACAUUAAAUCUAAAAUUUUAAUAUAUAAAUUUGAAUAUAAUAUUAAUUUUUUAUAUACAUAUUAUAUAUAAUGUAAAAUAAAUCUAGGGUUGGCUCGGGUUUGGGUUUGGAUUGGGUACGAUCAAAAUUCAUAUCAGGAUCUAUAUCCGCCGCGUUUUUGUUUUUG
rnacentral:lncRNA from 1 species